rnacentral:rRNA from 1 species
CAGUAGCCGCGGUAAUACGUAGGUCCCGAGCGUUGUCCGGAUUUAUUGGGCGUAAAGCGAGCGCAGGCGGUUAGAUAAGUCUGAAGUUAAAGGCUGUGGCUUAACCAUAGUACGCUUUGGAAACUGUUUAACUUGAGUGCAGAAGGGGAGAGUGGAAUUCCAUGUGUAGCGGUGAAAUGCGUAGAUAUAUGGAGGAACACCGGUGGCGAAAGCGGCUCUCUGGUCUGUAACUGACGCUGAGGCUCGAAAGCGUGGGGAGCAAACAGGAUUAGAUACCCCUGUAGUCCCUGUCUCUUAUACC